GUGCUUCUAAAUACAGACUGGGCCCCUGGUGAACAAGUUGGCUUAAGUGGGUGUCCCAGACUCAAGCUGCGCUCAGCCUUCAUCACAGUUCACAGAGUCCUAAGCCAAGAGUCAGCCUUGAGUUGCUGCUAGAGACCACAGAUACUCUGAAUUCCAACUUUAAUUGGCCUUCUGAGAAGACAAAGAGCCACAGGUCCCCAACAGGUCCUAGCUACUUCCUUCAGUCCCAAGACAGAUACAGAUGGAGGCAGUAGCAUGGUAACACCUCAAAAUCAAGCAUCCAGCAGCUGAAUCCGAAAAACACAAGGAACAAGUUGCAACAAAGAAGAUAAGCUGUGGAAGCUAGGAUUUCAGAAAAUUUAGAUUUAAGGACAAGUGCCAAUCAAGGAUAAAGCUGAAACUGCAGAGAGCCCGGCAUUCAGAUUUCCAUUCUGCUGUAAAUUUAAUGCAAAUCUUCAGUUCAAGUGCACAGAAUUUGUUUAAAAACCCUGAAGAUGCUUUCAUGAUCUACACAUCUGUCAUUGCUGUUGCUUAUCACCGUUCCUGGGAAUCUGGCACUUCAUCAGCCGUCUUUCUUUCCAUGUAAUGAACACUGUUCUCCCUGACUCAGGUGUCAUCACCAUGAGAAGGACAUACCACCCCAGAAUAAGGAGAGGCAAAUGGAUUAGACUUGAAAUGAACCCAGAGCCUGGAUUCAAGCACAGCCAAACCCAGCUUGGAUCUCAUAAUUCCCAGUCCUGUGCAGAAGAACCGUGAGACCUACAAUAUAUUUCCAUACCUUCUUUCAAGAAAUAAAUGCUCAAUUUUGUAAGAC
rnacentral:lncRNA from 1 species